CUAUGCUUCUGUUAGGUGAGGCUCCUAUAUGGAUAUAUGCUGCUGCCCAAAAACGUCGAGAGACACCAAUGGGUCAACAGAGAUGGUCGGAUUAAGGCCAUAUUUAACGUAGCUGAUGAAUAAUCUAUGCCAUAUAGUGCUAAAACUCGACGAUGGAGAAAAACUA
rnacentral:sRNA from 2 species